CUGCUGGAAAGGCCUCAGUGAGUGUUAGCCGCACAAAUCGAGGAAAAAUCGAGGAAAGAAUAAGGACACCGAGGCGCUAUAUAUAUAUAUAUAAUGUGACCUCCAAGCACACGGUCACAUUGACCCCCAAUGUUGGUAAACGUGAUUGCCAGUGUUGAUCACUUCGGGGCCUACACCUUCACGGUGAGCUACAUAAUUUCCUUUAAGCCCAAAUUAAAACAAUUUACACAUAACCAACCAUUAACCUAGGAGUUAUUCAUUAAGGCAUUUACCACUUGGUAUCGUCAUACCCAUAUAUUUGCAAGCUGAAUCAAUUAUUCCAAACCAAUCCGUAUAACCAAACUGACUCUCAAGUUUCAUUUAAAAUCCAAAACCAAGGACAUCCAAAGCCAUAUUCAUUUAUCUAUCCUUUAAUGCAAUGCAUUUGGUUUAAAAGACAAGUUAAACCACCCAAUUAUCUAUAUUUAAAACAAGUUUACAAUAUGGUUUGAGGUUAAUGUCAUUACCAAGCCAAAGUUCAUCCAACUUGGGAAAACCCAUGUCUCCCAUUCCAACCAUUAUAAUAAUUCACCCAUUUAGUCCCUAAACCAUUAAUUUAGAGCAUGGAUAAUCAAUAUAAAACAUGAGAUAAGUAAUUCAAGCAAUAACAGCUAAAACUCCUCAACCCAAUUCAAACCCAACAAUUUAAAUCACAUGAAAAUUCAUUCAAUUAAUGUCACAAUGUAAAAUUAGAAUUAGGGAAAGAGAAACAUGCCUGAAAUAUAUAAUUUCAUAAAGUAUAACUACAAGUUAGGAAUGAGCAAAAAGCCUGAAAUACACGAGGAAUUGAAAACAAUUCAAAGUUUGGAGCACAGAUGAUGAACUCUCUAUAAAUGUUCUUGGGUUUUGAGUUUAAGUGACAAAGAGAAUGAUUUUACCUUUGAAAACUAAAGAAAAAGGGUCAAAUUUAUGUUUGGAGCCCAGAUGAUGAACUCUCUAUAAAUGUUCUUGGGUUUUGAGUUUAAGUGACAAAGAGAAUGAUUUUACCUUUGAAAACUAAAGAAAAAGGGUCAAAUUUAUGUUUAAAAGUCGUACAAUGGGUAAAAAGACAAAAAUCCCAUCUCCCUAAGUGAAAAAGAAAAACUAGAUGAAUUUAUUACAGAGGCAUGGCACGGCCUUAUCGUGGAGGUUAACCUCCGUGCAACUAACUCCCUUGUCGCGGAGGUUAACUUCUGUGGCACGCCACUAUCGCGGAGGCCCACUACCUCGAAGUUCCAAAAUAUCUCUGAACCCCUUCUGAAAAUUUCAAAACUUUUUCAAAACACCCUUUUAACAUCCCUAAUCAUAAUUUAAGUCAAAAUUGACAUUAUAAACGCGGGAGGGUUAAAAAUAAAUUGAUUGAAACUUUGCAAGGCCUUAUAUUAUCCCUCCCCCCUCCCCCCCACACACUUAGGAUCAUUCAUCCCCUAAUGAGUUAGGACAUUUAUG
rnacentral:lncRNA from 1 species